GAUGAACGCUGGCGGCGUGCCUAAUACAUGCAAGUAGAACGCUGAAGGAAGGAGCUUGCUCUUUCCGGAUGAGUUGCGAACGGGUGAGUAACGCGUAGGUAACCUGCCUGGUAGCGGGGGAUAACUAUUGGAAACGAUAGCUAAUACCGCAUAACAGUAGAUGUUGCAUGAUAUCUACUUAAAAGGUGCAAUUGCACCACUACCAGAUGGACCUGCGUUGUAUUAGCUAGUUGGUGAGGUAACGGCUCACCAAGGCGACGAUACAUAGCCGACCUGAGAGGGUGGUCGGCCACACUGGGACGGAGACACGGCCCAGACUCCUACGGGAGGCAGCAGUAGGGAAUCUUCGGCAAUGGACGGAAGUCUGACCGAGCAACGCCGCGUGAGUGAAGAAGGUUUUCGGAUCGUAAAGCUCUGUUGUAAGAGAAGAACGAGUGUGAGAGUGGAAAGUUCACACUGUGACGGUAUCUUACCAGAAAGGGACGGCUAACUACGUG
rnacentral:rRNA from 1 species